CUUUGGGGACGCUCACACCCACUACUCUGUCGGCGCCAUUGGCAGCCAAGUCUGCAUGAACAAGGGGAAAAGGGUUCUUUCAUUCUCUGUGAGUAUUGUCUUUGAAGGGAAAUGAGUAUUGUAGAUGGGCGUCUCUGCGGAUUUCAGCAAAUGGGGAGAUGAAUGACGGGAUGGCUUGCACCAUGGCCACAAACAAGAUUAAGGGAUGAAUAGUACAAAGUUCAUUCAUGGGCGAGGACCCUUGAAAAAAACAACAGGCUGAC